AAGAAACAAGUUAAAAGCCUGGCACAAGCUGGCCCUUGGAUCGUGACACUAUGUUUGGCAGAUAACAGCAUAGAUGGGACAGGGAGGGAGGGAGAGCCUCUGCUGGAGUUCACUCGAACUGUAACAAGCUUGAUCAAAUACUCAACUCACUUAAGAGAGAUGGACCUUGGGAACAAUGUCCUGGGAGAAACGGCUGCAGUGGACAUCCUGGAAGCACUGAGAGUCAGGAAGACGGGUGAGG
rnacentral:lncRNA from 1 species